CCCAGUUCGGAUUGUAGUCUGCAACCCGACUACAUGAAGCUGGAAUCGCUAGUAAUCGCGGAUCAGAAUGCCGCGGUGAAUACGUUCCCGGGUCUUGUACACACCGCCCGUCACACCAUGGGAGUCGGAAAUGCCCGAAGUCUGUGACCCAACCGCGAGGAGGGAGCAGCCGAAGGCAGGUCGGAUGACUGGGGUGAAGUCGUAACAAGGUACC
rnacentral:rRNA from 1 species